rnacentral:rRNA from 1 species
UACGGAGGAUGCGAGCGUUAUCCGGAUUUAUUGGGUUUAAAGGGUGCGUAGGCGGAUCGUUAAGUCAGUGGUCAAAUUGAGGGGCUCAACCCCUUCCCGCCAUUGAAACUGGCGAUCUUGAGUGGAAGAGAAGUAUGCGGAAUGCGUGGUGUAGCGGUGAAAUUCAUAGAUAUCACGCAGAACCCCGAUUGCGAAGGCAGCAUGCCGGCUUCCUACUGACGCUGAAGCACGAAAGCGUGGGGAUCGAACAGG